rnacentral:rRNA from 1 species
GACGAACGCUGGCGGCGUGCCUAAUACAUGCAAGUCGAGCGAGCUUGCCUAGAUGAUUUUAGUGCUUGCACUAAAUGAAACUAGAUACAAGCGAGCGGCGGACGGGUGAGUAACACGUGGGUAACCUGCCCAAGAGACUGGGAUAACACCUGGAAACAGAUGCUAAAACCGGAUAGGUAGGGAUCUCGCAUGAGGACCUUAUUAAAGGGGCUACGGCCCUGAACAUGGAUGGACCUGCGGUGCAUUAGCUAGUUGGUGGGAUAACGGCCUACCAAGGCGACGAUGCAUAGCCGACCUGAGAGGGCGAACGGCCACAUUGGGACUGAGACACGGCCCAA